GAUUUUGGACAAGGGGGGAGACCGUGACCCAGCCUUCCCGCGUGUAUGAUUUAUGCCACCGGGAUGAAAAGUACUUCUGGCAGAGAAGAAAAGAUACAUCCUACUACGAGGAACUGCUGUCUAUCUCUGCAGAAUAUGCACCGGAUAACGCAGUGUCAGCAUCCGCGGUAAGAUGUAUGCUGCAAGCGUUAAGCGGAAUUACUGGGCGUAAAGCGUGUGUAGGCAGUUCGGAAAGAAAGAUGUGAAAUCCCAGGGCUCAACCUUGGAACUGCAUUUUUAAAUGCCGGGCUAGAGUAUGUCAGAGGGGGGUAGGAUUCCACGUGUAGCAGUGAAAUGCGUAGAUAUGUGGAGGAAUACCGAUGGCGAAGGCAGCCCCCUGGGAUAAUACUGACGCUCAGACACGAAAGCGUGGGGAGCAAACA
rnacentral:rRNA from 1 species